AGGAUGAACGCUGGCGGCGUGCUUGACACAUGCAAGUCACGGGGGCCCAGCAAUGGGCAACCGGCGAACGGGUGCGUAACACGUGAGCAACCUACCUAAGUGAGGGGGAUAGCCGGCCCAACGGCCGGGUAAUACCGCAUACGCUCGAAUUGAGGCAUUUUGAUUCGAGGAAACCUACGGGGCACUAUGAGGGCUCGCGGCCUAUCAGCUAGUUGGUGAGGUAACGGCUCACCAAGGCGACGACGGGUAGCGUGGUCUGAGAGGAUGGCCAGCCACAUUGGGACUGAGACUACGGCCCAGACCUCCGUACGGGAGGCAGCGAGGUGGGAAUCUGCGCAAGUGCCUAACGCGU
rnacentral:rRNA from 1 species